AUGGGUAAAUUUUUGUUCACUAGAAUCCCAGAGAAGCUGAGGAAUACAGAUCGGCUUGAUAGGGAAGAAGAUGCAGACUGGGGUGCAGAGGAGUGCUGGGAUGACGAGUACGCCAGUCUGACUGGCUCUAGCAGGCAUUCUUUAAGGCAGAAUAGCUCAGAUUCCAUGCUAGUUUCUGUUGUGGGGAUGGCCCUGUACACAGGAUAUGUCUUCAUGCCCCAGCACAUCAUGGCGAUAUUGUACUACUUUGAAAUUGUACAGUGAAUGACCAAGAUGGAGCAGGAUCGAGAGGUUCCUUGGGGAAGACCUACGCUAUGAAGUUGGAAUGAGACCUCAUCAGAUGUCAUAAGAAACUCUACUAGAUGUCAACGUUACUAACCUUAUAAAGACUAAAAUUCAUGAGUAGAACAGGAAAAUCAUCCUGACUCAUGUGUUAUGUUCUUUAUUUUUAAUUAUAAAAGAGGCUCUUGUAUAGUAGUUUUUGUCUAUUUUAACAUCGUAGUCAUUUGUACUUUGAUAUUAGUAUUUUCUAAACCUUUGUGACUGUUUCAAUAUUACCCUGUGAAAGCUUUUCUUAAUGUAACUUUGAGUACAUUUUAAUUGCCUUCUAUUUUUAAAAUCCAAAGUCAUUAGUUAGGCUUUACUGUUCUUGCUACUGUAUGGCAUAUAUAUCUGCCUGGAUAUAUUUCUACUCUUGACCAAAGUUUUGUAAGAAACAAAACGAGAUCGGGGCAGGGAGCUGGGGAGGGAGGAUAUUGUAUUGAGAACUACUUACAAAAGACUUAUCUGUAUGCUUGAACUCAGGAGUACAGUUUUAGCUGUCUAUACUCUAAUAGCUUUUGCUUAAAACUAUUUAAGUGUUUCUUAACGAAAAAGAAAAGAUCUUGCUAAAGUUAAAAUAAGGAACAUUUCACCCUUUAAAUAUUUAAUUCUUAUGUGAACUUACUUCCAGAAAACUUUAGUGAUGAUUCUUAUGACAAAAGGUGGUUAAGUAGCAUUAUUGUAUAAUGGUUAUAUACCAUAGAGUUUUUAAUAGAAGGUAAAUCAGUUUCCUCUGAAGGCCACUAUUGACAGUGUACUUUCAUAAAUUUAGUUUCAUGGUUGUAAUGGGUGCUGCAAAUGUAUUUGCACAUUGCAAUAAGAUAUGAUGAGAUGAACUGUUGUUAAAAACUACAGCAAAAAGUGUAAACUUAGUUAAAAUCCUUUCACUCUUUUGUAUUUUUUAAAAAAGAUUUUUAUUCCUUAAAUGUAAAAUUACUACCUAAUUUUUGGAUGUAAACUCAUUAAAUUCAAACAGAAAAAAAAUCAGCUGAUGUAGCAGUAUGUCUUUUCCUGGAUGAUUAAAUAUUGAUCUAGUA